rnacentral:rRNA from 1 species
CCUACGGGGUGCAGCAGUGGGGAAUAUUGGGCAAUGGAGGAAACUCUGACCCAGCAACGCCGCGUGAAGGAUGAAGGUUUUCGGAUUGUAAACUUCUGUCGCGAGGGAAGAAAAUGACGGUACCUGACUAAGAAGCCCCGGCUAACUACGUGCCAGCAGCCGCGGUAAUACGUAGGGGGCAAGCGUUAUCCGGAUUUACUGGGUGUAAAGGGAGCGUAGACGGUGCAGCAAGUCUGAUGUGAAAGGUCGGGGCCCAACCCCGGGACUGCAUUGGAAACUGUUGAACUGGAGUACAGGAGAGGUAAGCGGAAUUCCUAGUGUAGCGGUGAAAUGCGUAGAUAUUAGGAGGAACACCAGUGGAGAAGGCGGCUUACUGGACUGUAACUGACGUUGAGGCUCGAAAGCGUGGGGAGCAAACAGGAUUAGAUACCCCUGUAGUC